GGAGGAGUGGAUAUCACAACCACAAAAGCAUCCCAUUUGAAUGCUGUCCGUGUUUUGCUGUGUCCAGCUGGCACACCCUCAGCAUGCUGAUUUAAUUUAAAAAAAUCACUACCCAUUGUAGAAGCCAGAUGUAGCUGAACAACAGAGUUUUGCUCAUAGUAUGGCUCUGGUGCCUGAGCUGUUCCACGGACCAUUACUGCAAAGAGUGCAGUCCUGUUUUCUAACUGCUUGAUCAACCUCUUUGCCUUUCUCUGGAUUCCUUCAACUAGUACAUAAAAAUCUGUAACUGCUGUGGGUAAAACAGGGCAUGCCAGCCCAGCUCAGGCUGUCUCCCUCUGAGGAUGGAAGAGCACUUGCUAAGGAUGCUGAAGAACCCCAACUAGGAAAAAAGGAGAGACUGGGAAGGGAGCCAUUUCUGGAAAAGUAUAUACCAGGCUUGAGCCUUAAAGAAAAUUGACUGCUUGAUCUUUGUGGAGGCUGAACUUGCUCUGUGCUGCCUUUUUGGACUGUGUGGAUCUUGGAUGUUGUGUGGAAGACAGCAAACUUUUCCUCUGCUCUUACUGAGCAUCCAAGCAGCGCUGCCUUGAAUGCUGCCAGUGAGGAGACACAGGGACUGCAAAGAAGUUCCUGGUGCCAGAGAAGGGAACAGAUCUGGUUCAGUGUGGUGGUUUGACCCUGGCUGAACACCAGGUGCUUACCAAAGCCAUUCUAUAUUUCCUCUCCUCAACUGGACAGAAGAGAGAAAAUACAAGAAAAGGCUCAUGGAUCAAAUUAAGGGCAGGGAGAGAUCACUCUCCAAUUAUUGUCAUGGGCAAAACAGGCUUGACUUUGGGAAAUUAGUUUAAUUUAUUACCAAUCAAAUUUGAGUAUGAUAAUUAAAAAUAUAACCAAAUCAUAAAACACCUUCCCCUCACCUCUCCCUUCCUCCUGGGCUCAGCUUUACUCCUGGUUUUCAGUACCUCCUCUGCUCCAGCAGCACAAGGGGACAGGGAAUGGG
ensembl:lncRNA